rnacentral:rRNA from 1 species
UACAGAGGGUGCAAGCGUUAAUCGGAAUUACUGGGCGUAAAGCGUGCGUAGACGGUUAUUUAAGUCAGGUGUGAAAGCCCCGGGCUCAACCUGGGAAUUGCAUUUGAGACUGAAUAGCUAGGGUGCGGAAGAGGGAAGCGGAAUUUCCGGUGUAGCGGUGAAAUGCGUAGAUAUCGGAAGGAACACCAGUGGCGAAGGCGGGUCUCUGGGCAGUAACUGACGCUGAGGAGCGAAAGCGUGGGGAGCGAACAGG